rnacentral:rRNA from 1 species
GAUGAACGCUGGCGGCGUGCCUAAUACAUGCAAGUCGAGCGAACAGACGAGGAGCUUGCUCCUCUGACGUUAGCGGCGGACGGGUGAGUAACACGUGGAUAACCUACCUAUAAGACUGGGAUAACUUCGGGAAACCGGAGCUAAUACCGGAUAAUAUAUUGAACCGCAUGGUUCAAUAGUGAAAGACGGUUUUGCUGUCACUUAUAGAUGGAUCCGCGCCGCAUUAGCUAGUUGGUAAGGUAACGGCUUACCAAGGCAACGAUGCGUAGCCGACCUGAGAGGGUGAUCGGCCACCCUGGAACUGGGACACGGUCCAGACUCCUACGGGAGGCAGCAGUAGGGAAUCUUCCGCAAUGGGCGAAAGCUUGACGGAGCAACGCCGCGUGAGUGAUGAAGGUCUUCGGAUCGUAAAACUCUGUUAUUAGGGAAGAACAAAUGUGUAAGUAACUAUGCACGUCUUGACGGUACCUAAUCAGAAAGCCACGGCUAACUACGUG